CCUACGGGAGGCAGCAGUGAGGAAUAUUGGUCAAUGGACGAGAGUCUGAACCAGCCAAGUAGCGUGAAGGAUGACUGCCCUAUGGGUUGUAAACUUCUUUUAUAUGGGAAUAAAAUGUUCCACGUGUGGGAUUUUGUAUGUACCAUAUGAAUAAGGAUCGGCUAACUCCGUGCCAGCAGCCGCGGUAAUACGGAGGAUCCGAGCGUUAUCCGGAUUUAUUGGGUUUAAAGGGAGCGUAGGUGGAUUGUUAAGUCAGUUGUGAAAGUUUGCGGCUCAACCGUAAAAUUGCAGUUGAAACUGGCAGUCUUGAGUACAGUAGAGGUGGGCGGAAUUCGUGGUGUAGCGGUGAAAUGCUUAGAUAUCACGAAGAACUCCGAUUGCGAAGGCAGUUCACUGGACUGCAACUGACACUGAGGCUCGAAAGUGUGGGUAUCAAACAGGAUUAGAUACCCGAUUAGUC
rnacentral:rRNA from 1 species